GUGGGGAAUUUUGGACAAUGGGCGCAAGCCUGAUCCAGCAAUGCCGCGUGCAGGAAGAAGGCCUUCGGGUUGUAAACUGCUUUUGUACGGAACGAAACGGUCCUGGUUAAUACCUGGGGCUAAUGACGGUACCGUAAGAAUAAGCACCGGCUAACUACGUGCCAGCAGCCGCGGUAAUACGUAGGGUGCGAGCGUUAAUCGGAAUUACUGGGCGUAAAGCGUGCGCAGGCGGUGCUGUAAGACAGGCGUGAAAUCCCCGGGCUCAACCUGGGAAUUGCGAUUGUGACUGCAGUGCUGGAGUACGGCAGAGGGGGAUGGAAUUCCGCGUGUAGCAGUGAAAUGCGUAGAUAUGCGGAGGAACACCGAUGGCGAAGGCAGUCCCCUGGGCCUGUACUGACGCUCAUGCACGAAAGCGUGGGGAGCAAACAGGAUUAGAUACCCCAGUAGUCC
rnacentral:rRNA from 1 species